AAUGGACGAAAGUCUGACCGAGCAACGCCGCGUGAGUGAAGAAGGUUUUCGGAUCGUAAAACUCUGUUGGUAGAGAAGAACGUUGGUGAGAGUGGAAAGCUCAUCAAGUGACGGUAACUACCCAGAAAGGGACGGCUAACUACGUGCCAGCAGCCGCGGUAAUACGUAGGUCCCGAGCGUUGUCCGGAUUUAUUGGUCGUAAAGCGAGCGCAGGUGGUUUAUUAAGUCUGGUGUAAAAGGCAGUGGCUCAACCAUUGUAUGCAUUGGAAACUGGUAGACUUGAGUGCAGGAGAGGAGAGUGGAAUUCCAUGUGUAGCGGUGAAAUGCGUAGAUAUAUGGAGGAACACCGGUGGCGAAAGCGGCUCUCUGGCCUGUAACUGACACUGAGGCUCGAAAGCGUGGGGAGCAAA
rnacentral:rRNA from 1 species